UCCUUAUAAUGUCCUUUGUAUAAAGUUCAAAAUAUAUAGAAAAUCAUUUGUGUGAAAUAUGUACAAAUUUUUAAGUUUCAUUUUUUUGGUUCAUAUUCUCGAUCCAAUCUAUCCUUCUCAGCUAAACCUGAGAUCUCCAAAACGACGUCGCAAGUGGCUUUAUUUAUAUUUUUGCCCUGAUUCUCCUUUUUCCCGUCCUCUCUUGCACUUUCCCUCUGGAAAACAGUUAAUGAGUAAUCAAUUGCAUUUAGCAUAGCCCAAAAUAGCCAUAGAAAGAUGGAUUAUUUACUCCCGACAUUGAGGAAGAAGCAAGAAGUGGACUCCAUAAUCAGAGACACCAUUGACAAAGUACUCGUUCUCUGGUUCGGGUGCUCCUCCGACGCCGUUUGCUUGCAGCUUGACGGCAUCCUAUAUAAGUCGGCAAGAGAUGUGUCGAAAUUCGCGACUGUGGCGUUAGUGGAUGUUGACCUCCAAAAAUAGGCAACAGGUGUCGUUAGAAGACGAUGUACACGUGCACGACUUUCGUAGUAUAUUGACCCUGAAUAUGUAUGUAUGUAGGAGAAGAAGAUGGAGGCAAAUGAGAGAUAUAUUAUGUU